CAGCAAGCAAAGCCAAAACAUUCAACUCUGGUUUCUCUCAAAAGUUUGAAAUCAACUUGGUUAUAGUUCUGAAAUUCAUUACCCCAGAGAAAGGAAGAAAUGGACUUGAUCUGGUGGAUGUGGAUGUUUAUGGUUGGAAUUUUCAAGCAUCCUCCUCAUGGUAAGAGAACCCAAUCCAAGACUGUGUGACACUUGAGCAGCUCUAGGAAAUGAGUGCGUGGCUUUCCAGAUGGAACAAACCACAAAUGAAUGUGAGCAGCCUCCAGAAGCUGGAAAAGGAAAGAAAAUGGAUUCUUCCCUGUAGUCUGCAGAAAGAAAUGCAGCAUUUCUGACACUUUGAUUUUUGCCUGAUGUUAUGGACUAAAUAUUUGUGUCCCUCUUAAAUUUAACAUGUUGACGUCCUAACUAUUAAUGUGACUGUAUUUGGAAAUAGGACCUGUUAGUAGGUAAUAAAGGUUAAAUGAGCUGACAAGCAUGGGGCUCUAAUUCUAUAGGGCUAGUGACUUUAUAAGAGGAGAAAGAGACACCAGAGCAUUCUCUCUCUCUCUCUACCAUGUGAGGACACAAUGAGAAGAUGGCCAUCUGCAAGCCAAGUAGAGAGCCCUCACCUGAAACUGAACUGACCACAACUUUGCUUUUGGACUUUCCAGCCUCUAGAAUUGUAAGAAAAAUAAAUUCCUGUUU
rnacentral:lncRNA from 1 species